GUUAAUUAAACGUUGGUAAAAAAAAUUUCUCUGAAGCUCGUAAAGAAAAUCCUCAAAUUCGCAAAGUUCCCGAAGAAGAAGAUGACUGGAGGACAAUCCGAUAGAGAGGUCAAGGUUUCCCUGGAACUCACCGAAGAAAUUCUACAGAGUAUGGAAGUUGGCAUGGCUUUUCGUGACUAUAAUGGUAGAAUAAGUUCAAUGGAUUUCCACAAGACAUCCCCUUAUCUGGUGACUGCUAGCGAUGAUGAAUCUAUCCGGCUGUAUGAUGUGGCAAAUGCAACAUGUUUGAAGACUAUUAAUAGCAAAAAGUAUGGGGUUGAUCUUGUUAACUUUACUUCUCAUCCGACAACUGUCAUAUACUCCUCAAAGAAUGGGUGGGAUGAAUCUUUGCGGCUUCUUUCAUUACAUGAUAAUAAGUAUUUGCGAUAUUUCAAGGGUCAUCAUGAUAGGGUUGUGUCUCUUAGCUUGUGCUCUCGGAAAGAGUGUUUUAUCUCUGGAUCUCUGGACCGAACUGUUUUGCUUUGGGACCAAAGAGCAGAGAAAUGCCAGGGUCUUCUACGUGUGCAGGGAAGACCAGCUACAGCUUAUGACGAUCAAGGUCUUGUUUUUACCAUUGCUUAUGGAGGAUAUAUAAGAAUGUUUGAUGCUCGCAAGUAUGAAAAGGGCCCUUUUGACAUAUUUUCGGUUGGGGGAGAUAUGUCUGAUGCUAAUGUUGUGAAGUUCAGUAAUGAUGGAAGACUGAUGCUUUUGACAACUUUAGAAGGUCAUAUUCAUGUGCUUGAUUCAUUUCGUGGAACGCUUCUAUCUACAUACAAUGUCAAACCUGUUUCAAGUGGUUCGACAUUAGAGGCAUCUUUCAGCCCAGAGGGAAUGUUUGUUGUUUCAGGUUCUGGGGAUGGUAGUGUCUAUGUUUGGAGUGUUCGAAGUGGCAAAGAAGUAGCCAGUUGGAUGAGUACUGAAGAUGAACCACCAGUCAUAAAAUGGGCUCCUGGAAGUCUGAUGUUUGCUACAGGUUCUUCAGAGUUAUCAUUUUGGAUCCCAGAUUUAUCCAAAUUGGCAGCUUAUGGAAGGAAGUAGAAAGUAUCUUGGUACCUCCCUGAAAUGUUGUAGUCAGGAGCACUAACUGACAAAAUAGAAUCAGUGAGUAAUGCAUUGGUCGGAUGCCCUUUAUUCUGUAGGCAAUUUAUCAGUUAUCCUCAUUCUGAUGCUCCUUGAUCGUCAAUGGUUAAUAUGACCCAGUUUCAGCACAUCCUCUGAUGAAUGCAACUUGCAGAUCAGGUAGAUGGUAUAUCAAGUGUCUGCAUGACCUGCUUUUAACCAUUAAAAACACAGAAGACAGAGAAGGAUACAUACAACUUGAGUUUGGUAAGAGUGGUGAUUGGAGAGUAGUCUCAACUCUCUCGUGGGUUAAAAUGCUGGCUACUUAAGUGACAUGUGAAACUAACAGAAUAGUGCAACAAAAGCGUUGCACAGAAUGUUGGGAUCAAUCAAUAUACAGAAGUGACCAACUUGAUAACUAAGGAGCCUUGCAAGGAUAAAAGGUGAUGAUGCACUCAUUGCCUCACUUUUCUAUAAGGGACAUUACGUGCUUGAAGCCUCAAAAAGUGCCGAAGAUCGCAUUGGAUCUACGAUUAAAUCUCCACGCAUCCAUUUGCAACAGGAAGAAGCUUUCUCCAUUGUUUCCUCUCUGGUGUUCUCACUCUUUGGGACGAUCGAUGGGGGGUCCCGUGCCCUAUAUGUGUUAUUAGGGUUCUCGAACGCCAAAAAGUGGGAGUAAUUGUCAAACCUCAUAGAGGAAAGCAUCCGCCCAAAAUCUUGUUGAUUGUGACCUUUACAAUUACAAAGCUGUUGAACACACCAGGCAAUGGGGGCCAAGAAAAUUGGUGUACCCAGCACUACAGUAUACCCGAUAAAACCUCACCCUUCUCGAGUGAAUGUCUCUACGUACCUAUGACAAAACUGAUAUGGACGGUCCACAUGUCAUCAAUGAUCCGAAUGUCAGUUGGAUUAGCUUUGUCUGUUUUCCCAAAACUUGUUUGGAUGACUAGCUUGUCUCGAGUCAAUUGCAUCACGAUUUUCUUCCUGGUUGGAACAGUGAAUCACAAUUCACAAUAGAAGCAAAGAAUGAAUUGGAAAAUUUCGAUUCUAUUCUUUCUUGCCUCCUAAAUUUUGAUUUUUGUAAA